rnacentral:rRNA from 1 species
GCUCUCUUCGGACAGUGCAUAGAGUGGCGCACGGGUGAGUAACACGUAAGUAAUCUACCUUCGAGUGGGGAAUAACCCGGGGAAACCCGAGCUAAUACCGCAUAACGCAGCGGCAUCGCAAGAUGACAGUUGUUAAAGGAGCAAUCCGCUUGAAGAGGAGCUUGCGGCAGAUUAGCUAGUUGGUAAGGUAACGGCUUACCAAGGCUACGAUCUGUAUCCGGUCUAAGAGGACGGUCGGACACACUGACACUGAAUAACGGGUCAGACUCCUACGGGAGGCAGCAGUCGGGAAUUUUGGGCAAUGGGCGAAAGCCUGACCCAGCNACGCCGCGUGAAGGAUGAAGUAUUUCGGUAUGUAAACUUCGAANGAAUAGGAAGAAUAAAUGACGGUGCUAUGUUAUAAGCUCCGGCUAACUACGUGCCWRCAGCCGCGGGUAAUACGUAGGGAGCAAAGCGUUGUUCUGAUUUACUGGGCGUAAAGG